GUCCGAGUGCUGGAAUUGGUAGACAGCGCUAAGUUAAGUUUAGCUGAUUUCAAAUCGUAAACGUUCAAGUCGUUUCUCGGAUA
rnacentral:tRNA from 1 species